UAAACGACUCUCGGCAACGGAUAUCUCGGCUCUCGCAUCGAUGAAGAACGCAGCGAAAUGCGAUACUUGGUGUGAAUUGCAGGAUCCCGCGAACCAUCGAGUCUUUGAACGCAAGUUGCGCCCGAAGCCUUUCGGCCGAGGGCACGUCUGCCUGGGUGUCACUC
rnacentral:rRNA from 2 species